AUUUGAAGUUGGAAGUAAAAGGGCAUUGUUUACAUACAAAAUAUUGCAAGAGUUGUUUUUGUUCAGUCUUGAUGAAAAAUACCAUUUCGAAUGCUUUCCAAAUUGUAGAUUACCAUAACUAUUAGAAUCCAAAAUCCCACUAAACUUUGGUUGCUGUUCGUGAUGACUGCAAGUGGACCUUGGGAUGACCCCAACUUAAAGGGUUUCCACCGGUUGUUUAACAACCAGACUGGAAGAGGCAGGUCUAACUAUGCGAAGCUGAUGGUGUCUCUCUAUGCGACACUGUACAUAGUGUACAGACUGAAAAAAUCUUCCCCGAAGCCUGCCGAGCCAGAACCCAGCGCCACAGAAGAUACCAACUAGUUGCUGACAGCAAAGUGUGGAUACUUGGUUUUAGGUGUGAUUAACUGGCUUUAUGUGAAUUAUAAAAGACUUUAUGUUUAAAUACACUGUUGUUUGAUUUUUA